rnacentral:rRNA from 1 species
CCUACGGGUGGCAGCAGUAGGGAAUUUUGCGCAAUGGGCGAAAGCCUGACGCAGCAACACCGCGUGAACGUGAAGCCCUUCGGGGUGUAAAGAUCUGUCAAUAGGGACGAAUUUUGACUGUACCUAUAGAGGAAGCACCGGCUAACUCCGUGCCAGCAGCCGCGGUAAUACGGGGGGUGCAAGCGUUGUCCGGAAUCAUUGGGCGUAAAGCGUUCGUAGGCGGCAAGGUAAGUCUGAUGUUAAAGCCCGGGGCUCAACUCCGGUUCGGCAUUGGAUACUAUCUAGCUAGAAUGUGGUAGAGGUAAAGGGAAUUCCUGGUGUAGCGGUGAAAUGCAUAGAUAUCGCGAAGAACAUCGAUUGCGAAGGCAGUAUGCCGGGUCGAAACUGACACUGAGGCACGAAAGCGUGGGUAUCGAACAGGAUUAGAUACCCGGGUAGUC